AUACGGAGGGUGCAAGCGUUAAUCGGAAUUACUGGGCGUAAAGGGUUCGUAGGCGGUUAUUUAAGUCAGAUGUGAAAGCCCCGGGCUCAACCUGGGAAUUGCAUCUGAUACUGGGUAACUAGAGUUUAAGAGAGGAGUGUGGAAUUUCCGGUGUAGCGGUGAAAUGCAUAGAGAUCGGAAGGAACAUCAGUGGCGAGGGCGGCACUCUGGCUUAAAACUGACGCUGAGGAACGAAAGCGUGGGUAGCAAACAGCAUUAGAAACCCUAGUAGUCC
rnacentral:rRNA from 1 species